rnacentral:rRNA from 1 species
AGUGGGAUAGCAUAGAAUAGUGGUAUACGAUAUGUGAGCGCUGUGCGCUUAAGAAAGGGUUCGNCCCGCCUUGGAUGGGCCCGCGUCCCAUUAGCUUGUUGGUGAGGUAAAAGCCCACCAAGGCGAUGAUGGGUAGCCGGCCUGAGAGGGUGAACGGCCACACUGGGACUGAGAUACGGCCCAGGNCCUACGGGAGGCAGCAGCUAAGAAUAUUCCGCAAUGGACGAAAGNCUGACGGAGCGACGCCGCGUGGAUGACGAAGGCCGUGAGGUUGUAAAAUCCUUUUAUUGNUGAAGAAUAAGCGGGGGAGGGAAUGCCCCCGUGAUGACGUUAGGCAAUGAAUAAGCCCCGGCUAAUUA